GCAAAAGCUCAGUUGGUUAGAGCAUGGUGCUGAUAAUGCCAAGGUUGCAGGUUCAAUCCCCGCAUGGGACUGCGGCA